rnacentral:rRNA from 1 species
AGCAGUGGAUCUUUCCAUGUGACCCCGGUUUACCACCGGGAUGUUCAUAACCCUUUGUUGUCCGACUCUGUUGCCUCCGGGGCGACCCUGCCUUCGGGCGGGGGCUCCGGGUGGACACUUCAAACUCUUGCGUAACUUUGCAGUCUGAGUAAACUUAAUUAAUAAAUUAAAACUUUUAACAACGGAUCUCUUGGUUCUGGCAUCGAUGAAGAACGCAGCGAAAUGCGAUAAGUAAUGUGAAUUGCAGAAUUCAGUGAAUCAUCGAAUCUUUGAACGCACAUUGCGCCCCCUGGUAUUCCGGGGGGCAUGCCUGUUCGAGCGUCAUUUCACCACUCAAGCCUCGCUUGGUAUUGGGCAACGCGGUCCGCCGCGUGCCUCAAAUCGACCGGCUGGGUCUUCUGUCCCCUAAGCGUUGUGGAAACUAUUCGCUAAAGGGUGCUCGGGAGGCUACGCCGUAAAACAACCCCAUUUCUAAGGUUGACCUCGGAUCAGGUAGGGAUACCCGCUGAACUUAAGCAUAUA